rnacentral:rRNA from 1 species
GCACCGGAUCCCAUCAGAACUCCAAAUUUAAGCGUGCUUGGGCGAGAUUAGUACUAGGAUGGGUGACCUCUUGNNNAGUCCUCGUGUUGCAUUCC